CAAGUUGGCGGCGUGCCUAAUACAUGCAAGUCGAGCGAACCACUUCGGUGGUUAGCGGCGGACGGGUGAGUAACACGUGGGCAACCUGCCUGUAAGACUGGGAUAACUCCGGGAAACCGGAGCUAAUACCGGAUAAUCCUUUUCCUCUCAUGAGGAAAAGCUGAAAGUCGGUUUCGGCUGACACUUACAGAUGGGCCCGCGGCGCAUUAGCUAGUUGGUGAGGUAACGGCUCACCAAGGCGACGAUGCGUAGCCGACCUGAGAGGGUGAUCGGCCACACUGGGACUGAGACACGGCCCAGACUCCUACGGGAGGCAGCAGUAGGGAAUCUUCCACAAUGGACGAAAGUCUGAUGGAGCAACGCCGCGUGAGCGAUGAAGGCCUUCGGGUCGUAAAGCUCUGUUGUUAGGGAAGAACAAGUACCGGAGUAACUGCCGGUACCUUGACGGUACCUAACCAGAAAGCCACGGCUAACUACGUGCCAGCAGCCGCGGUAAUACGUAGGUGGCAAGCGUUGUCCGGAAUUAUUGGGCGUAAAGCGCGCGCAGGCGGUCCUUUAAGUCUGAUGUGAAAGCCCACGGCUCAACCGUGGAGGGUCAUUGGAAACUGGGGGACUUGAGUGC
rnacentral:rRNA from 1 species